rnacentral:tRNA from 1 species
GCCUUCGUGGUGUAGUGGUCAGCACGCUGGGCGCGUAUUCCAGAGGUGCGCGGUUCGACUCCCGGCGAAGCCG